rnacentral:rRNA from 1 species
AUGCGGACUCGCACGCACGAGCGAGACUGCCCUCGAGGGGAGGCCUCCAGAUCCCUCCUCCCAUUGCCUGCCCUCCUCGCGAUCCUCCCGACGUCCUCGCGCCGCCGUCCUCUUCUUCUCUGCGACUCCUCUGUGCCCCACGCCCUGACCGACGUCGGCGAGUCCUCGGCACUCCGCGUGCGCCUCGCAUCCAACGCCAGGGAGGAUCGAAUGACUCCGCCCGCGUCGUCGCCUCCGACGCCGGCCUCUCCUUCACCACCGCCCCUGCCGGCAGGGUCCCCCAAGUCACGGCCUUCCUCGCCUGGGUGUACGUCGCCAACCGGUACGCUCAAGCCCUCUCUCCCUCCCUCUCCUUCCCAGAUCUCUCCUCUGCUCAACACCUCUGAUCUCCCAUUGAUUGGUCUGCAGGCCAUAUGGCAGGACGCGCAGACCCGGGCGAUCCUCUCCGGCCUCCUUGAGAAGAGCACCGACAAUCUCCCCAAAGAGAUCUCAGUGGACCACAAGCUGAGGGACCUCGGAUGCACGAAGGUUAUCCUUUCUUCAAGGACUGGAAGUUUCCUGAUUGGCCUGAUUCUAGAUUUGGGGCACGGAAUGAUGGUCAUGGGAAUACCCAAAGUUUCAUCGUGGGACAACUGGAUUUUAGAUGAACUCGGACACAUCUCUGUUCCUAGAAUGUUGCCAUCUUGCUAUAUGCAAAAUAAACUAUUGUAA